UUACAGAUUUUUGGUUAUCAGCACCUCUGUUAGGUAUGUAUCGGUCAAUACCCGAUUAUCGGCACUGAUAAACGGAAUUAGGUGAAUAUUGGUACUGAAAAUCAGUUCCUUCACUAGACAAUCCCCUUAAAACCGCAUCUCCGAUAAACAGUUACUGCCUGUAUCUUUGCUUUGUCAGGCCAUCAACACUAUUAUUACCCCUGUAUGGCUUCCAGCUCUCCGCUCUUCCAUUAAUUGCUGCUGCCACUAAGCCUUCUCACAAACUCCAGUGAUGCAUUCAAUGCUUCCUGUCUCUUCAGCACUGCCCACCUCCUUUCUCUGGAUGCACUAUUCUGCUAUGGGUUCUGAUUUGCUUUCCCAAUCAUUCUGACUAGUCCAUUUAUAUCAGUGGUUUGAGUGGUUUUAGCACUUAACUUACCUGUGUUGGCUGCACCUCCUGCACAAAUAUUAUUGCCAGCAUUUUUUGUUUCACUUUACACUACUUCUGUUUACCAGUUUGCCAGAUAUUGCCACCCAACCCUACUUCAGUGCCUACCCAACUAUUUGAGUUUGUUAAUGCCACUACAAUAUAAAAAUUUCAACUUUGCCAGUGACAUCUGCUGCUUUGUCCAUGCCUCCAUAUGUGUUUUUGGACUCUGUGGCACACCUUGAUAUUCCUCUUUCCUGCUGAUCCUAAUCUGGACCUUUUGCGACAAUCCUGGAUCAACAGAAGUCCACCAUCUGCCAAAUAUAAGCAUCUGAAAGAUACUACUAACUAAAGAUCAUAACCACUAUAGUUCUUGCUCUAGCCACUUUGAAAAGGGCAUUUCCAGAUAUUCCUCUUCUUCCUGUUGUAUGAUCUCUGUCACAUUCAGCUCCAGGAUCAAGACCAUCACCCUGAUAAGUUAGACGAUCCAACUAGGUUAGAUUUAUUGUAUAUGACAGUCUUUUAUCAUGUCCUGUCACUGUCAAAAGACAGGAUUACUAUAACACUGCUGCAAGAUGGGACUUGUGCUAAAGUCACAAAGGCAUUUGGUACUGCUUUAUUCUCAAGGUUUCACAAUUUUCAAGUGGUCUUACUUUCUUUGUUUCAGUUGCUUAAUCCCAGCCAUCUGAAAAGGUCUGAAUCCCUUUUGCAGGUGACCUUUCUGCCUCCAAAAUCCCAGACAGGAGGUUAUACAGAUCUUUCCCACUGACAACCAAGACUCCUGUAACUCUAAGGAGAGCCCAUUUUAAUCCUUCUCAGGACCUGACUCACCUCACCGAAUUUUCUGACAAGGAAGAGACCUCCAUUCCAAAAGUCCUUGACUGCAGAACUUCAUUCUAAAAUUAAUAUCUCUGGGCAAAUAGAAUACUUGAAUGAGCCCUAAGUAUGUCACUAAGACACCUUAGCAGAUGUCCAUAUCUGUACAGGAAAAAAAAAAAACUUUAUUUAAAUUUACCAGACAACAAGCUCUGAAAAUUCUACACCAUCCAGGGUUAGUCCACUCAAGCUUAUCAGAGUCAGACAUUUGACAGCAUUCUUUACCUCCAUCUCUUAUCAUUCAUUUUCUAGCAUAGGAUAUGAAAAGUCCAAGAGUUUGAACAAUGAGGCAUGGGUCAGUACCCAAGAAACAGACAGUCAAGAAGGUUUCAGACAGAUCAAGAUUUUACAGGUACCUGUUUCUGCUUCAAAAGGCAACAUGAUGCUCAUUCCUUAACCUAGGCCUCCUGACCAAAUUCCUGUGGCAUACUCCUUUCCAAAUAGAAAUGGUGGAAUCAGUGAGACUGUCCAUUCAGAAGAAUAUCACGGCUCCCUUUGACCAUUAGGACACAUCCCCAUUCAAAUGCUAGCAAGUAUGUACUUAAGAUUCAUCUAGAGAGGCACUUUGCUUUGGUUUAAUGAGAGCCCUGCAGGUCUUUACCUGAACUUUUACAUUUGUGGCAGCCCUGGUAAAUUUGUCCAGCAUAAGACAGCCCUGCCAUUUGGACAACAGGCAUGUUCUACUUGUAGAAGGGAUAGUAGCGAAGGUGCAGGAGGGCCUGGCUUGGAUGUGUCAUCUCUGCUGUAAAGUUAGCCUGUAAAAUAACUGGAGGAAAUCGGACAUUGUACCCUCCAGGUAGCAAAAUAUCUGGGCAUGGAAACGGACACUAGUAGUGUUCAAGAAGCUAGGAGAGCUGAUGAUAACACAAGAAUAGAGAAGCUAAAAUAAAGUUUUGAUUUUAUUAAGUGAUGUACAGAUGGUAUAAAGCAAGAUUCCACUAUAAACCAAGUAAGAAAUGCUUAGGGUAAGACUGCUAUGAGCUGAUCCCAUGGUGAUAGACAAGAAAGAUGGCAAAGAAACAGUGAGAAGAAUAAAAAGUUAAUAAAUUAAAUAAAAAAAGUAGUAGUAUCAACAAAUCCAAGUGUUAGUAAAGAAGUAUGUGGGUGUUAUCGGGAAAGGGAUAUUGAGAAAAACACGGUAGUGAAAUCAAGAUGCAAACUGGCCAGUUUACGAGAAUAAGAGCCUUCAAGCUCUGGCAGAGGACAGGCAAGUGAGAUAAUUAAGAUGUAUACAUAGGUUAGAGGACAGAGGCAUACACAUAUUUUAAAAAGGUAUCUACUUUGAUUCUGACCUUGAUGGGCACACAAAAAACUCUUGAGUUCCUCUUAAACAUUUUUUCCAAUAGCAGGCAUGAAUUUUUGUAUUACUGUCCACCAGAGCCUUAGUAUUUACAUAGCUAUGACUUGAAACUGUACACAAACUAACAAUACAAUCACAUACAUAAAAGAAAACAGGAUGGACCUGAAAUUUUAGGAAACAAAACAUACAUUUCAAUUUGAUCUAUUCAUGUACUAGGUAUGGUACAAAAUACAAGGAAAAGGUUAUUUACAGAAUGGGUGUGAUACACUGGGAUUAUUCUACCUGAGUUUAAAAAAUAAGCAAUGAAUAGAGAAAGAGAAAAAUCCAAGAUCCAUCAACAAGGCACCAAAUUAAUGUACCAAAGUUUUUUUUUUUAUAUAAAAUGGAAAGGAUUUGGGGUUGGGCAUUUGAGAUCAGUCAGAAUAUUACAUACUUGAGAGGGAUCUCUCCCACUUAAAAUAAAAGAUACUUAGGUGAAUUCUUGGUCUGUAC